UGGCGCCUCCAAGGUGGGACCAGAGAAUGGGGGAAUUAGUGAGGGACACUGUUUGUGGGCCCUAAGUAGAAAAAGGAAAAAGAAAAUAGAGGACUGUCGUGGGAGCCUGCCACGCCGCUGAACCUCAGUAAGUGAACAGUGAUUAUGGGACAUGAAAUUAGCCAGUAUGAGACUUUUGUUUAAAGUUUAGAAAAGCUUUAAUGACACAAAGAGUAAGGGGAAAAAUUAGUAAUUGUGUGCACCAAGACAAGGAAUGAGCCAACGUGAGAUUUUUGUUAAAGUUUAAGAAAAGCUUU
rfam:Cavia porcellus supercont2_19 genomic scaffold, whole genome shotgun sequence.